AUCCUUUGGUGCUUCAUAACCGUAGGUUUCCAGGCUCACGCAUGAGAUGGCCCUCCAGCCUUGUUACAACGGCUGCACUGAAUUACCCAUCUGACG
ensembl:snoRNA